ACAGGCGAGGCGCGUCAUCGUAGCGGUUCGGUAGGAUAUGACAUGUUACACGGAAGGGUCUUUGGAACCUCAGCAUCAUGCGUAUUUUGUACUGGAAUCUCGGGAGCAUCGAGGCAGUACUGGCCAGUACGUCGAACAACUACGUUGUGCAUAACAACGAUUGCCGUGGUGUGCGAGAGCUAGCGUUCCUUUGUUCUCCGGCUUUGCAGUUAAGAUGCACACACAACCAUGGAUAGCCUCACACAUGUGUAAAGUUACUGGUGUCUCUACAAGAAGUUAGUUCUCUAAGAAGAAAGUUACUGGUGUCUCUCUGAAGAGCCAGGCAUAAACCGGAAGACGUCGCUUGGGUCUGCCAGUGAUUAGGCUGCUUCCGCAUGUAACCAUCUAUACUGCAUGAGAAACUGCAGGAUGACGGUUGCGAAGUGGCGUAGCAAUCACGUGAUUAUUAUUAUGACCAUUAUUGUCUUAUUAUGCGUCUUAUCCGUGCCACCCUAUA